rnacentral:rRNA from 1 species
UACGUAGGGUGCAAGCGUUGUCCGGAUUUACUGGGCGUAAAGAGCGCGCAGGCGGUCGUACAAGUCGCGUGUGAAAGCCCCCGGCUCAACUGGGGAGGGUCACGCGAUACUGUUCGACUCGAAGGCAGGAGAGGGAAGCGGAAUUCCCGGUGUAGUGGUGAAAUGCGUAGAUAUCGGGAGGAACACCAGUGGCGAAGGCGGCUUCCUGGCCUGUUCUUGACGCUGAGGCGCGAAAGCUAGGGUAGCAAACGGG